AUAAGUAAAUUAUAUUGAGAUAAAAGUAGCGAUAUACAAGGAUUUAUUGGGAUCAGAUUGAAGGUCAUUUUAAUCUAUAAACUAAGAGUUGAUUAUAAAAUUAUUAUUUGUGGUGGUUGGACGUUGGAAUAUUGAUUGCUCCAUAGAUGAUCUAUGUGUAUAACAAUCAAUAAGUAUAUUAAAUGGCUAGAACUUGAAUAAGUUGAAAGCCUUAUUUUAAAGGAAAUGUUGUCAGAAGUAUAGAUGAAAUUUAUAUUAAUUCUUUAAUUUCUUAUUUAAAUAAAGUUAUAUGUUUAAUGCAGUUUUGUUCUUUAUAUUUAUAUUUUAUCUAGAUUGUUGAGUCUGUCUACCACUCUUGUUAGUCAGAAUCUAAGUUAAAACUUGCUCUUUCUUUUAUCAUUGUGAGUAAUAAUAAAUAAUGCAUACUAUUAUUUGCAUGCAUGCACCGUCCAUUUCAUGAUAUAUGAAUAUAUACAAAUGAUAUUCGACUUUCAUUCUUUUAAUGCAAUAUUAUUAAGAUUUACUUACACUAUUCACCUUAAAAAUUAUAAUAAUAUAUACACGAGUAUUAUAUAUAUAUAUAUAUAUAUAUUUCUCAAUUAUAUUCAUAUGUGCAUAUUGAUCUACAACGAAAAGAAAGAGAUGAUGGAAAAACAAUGAGAGCACUGGUCAAGUGAGGAUUAGCCCAAUUGGCUGGGGGAUUGGCUGCCUGUUGUACACGUAUAAGAGGACAGACUAUGUGCAAGGAUGGAUUGUUGGGGGUUUUGUGACACCACUGAACAGUCUUCAUUUUAUGUGAUUACUUGAAGGAGAUAGACACUAUACUGGUCCGGACAAUCUCUGCUUCCUUCUCCACAGAGUUAUGGCAGUAGUUUUUGACUUUUUGAUAAUUCUCAAAUAUAUAGUCUUGUGUUUAGAAAUAUAAUCGUGUUUAUUUAAUGAGCUCCACAGUUAGGAUGUUUGUGUCACAAUUCGAUAUGUAAAAUUUAUCAAUGUUCUGCUCAAUAAAUCUAUGGAUUUUCUAA